rnacentral:rRNA from 1 species
AACGAACGCUGGCGGCAUGCCUAACACAUGCAAGUCGAACGAGACCUUCGGGUCUAGUGGCGCACGGGUGCGUAACGCGUGGGAACCUGCCCUUAGGUUCGGAAUACCUCCCCGAAAGGGGUGCUAAUACCGGAUAAUGUCUUCGGACCAAAGAUUUAUCGCCUUUGGAUGGGCCCGCGUUGGAUUAGCUAGUUGGUAGGGUAAAAGCCUACCAAGGCGACGAUCCAUAGCUGGUCUGAGAGGAUGAUCAGCCACACUGGGACUGAGACACGGCCCAGACUCCUACGGGAGGCAGCAGUGGGGAAUAUUGGACAAGGGGCGAAAGCCUGAUCCAGCAAUGCCGCGUGAGUGAUGAAGGCGUUAGGGUUGUAAAGCUCUUUUACCCGGGAUGAUAAUGACAGUACCGGGAGAAUAAGCUCCGGCUAACUCCGUG